rnacentral:rRNA from 1 species
GAUGAACGCUGGCGGCGUGCUUAACACAUGCAAGUCGAACGGAAAGGCCCGGCUCUUGUGGGGUUCUCGAUUGGCGAACGGGUGAGUAACACGUGAGUAAACUGCCCUUGACUUUGGGAUAACUUCAGGGAACUGGGGCUAAUACCGGAUAUGAGAUCCUGCUGCAUGGUGUGGGUUGGAAAGUUUCGGCGGUUGUGGAUGGAUUGGCGGGUUAUCAGCUUGUUGGUGGGGUAGGUGUUUACCAGGGUUUUGAAGGGUAGGCGGCAUGAGAGGGUGAACGGGCACCUUGGGACUGCGAUAGGGAGCAGACGGCUACGGGAGGCAGCAGUGGGGAAUAUUGCGGAACGGGGGGAAGCCUGUGGCGGAGACGCUGCGUGCGGAAUGACCGCUUUCGAGUUGUAAACAGCUUUGGCAUGUGAUGAAGAGUGAGUGACGGUAAUGGGUCAAGAAGCCCCGGCUAACUACGUG